UAUGGCAAUGGUAAAGGUGACAUCUUCAGUAACAAAUUGGUUGUGACAACAGACGAUUCCAACGACGGACUGGUGAUGAAGACGUCUCUCCUUUGUACUCUUGCGGUGGGUCUUGUCCUACUCGCUCAAAGUGAAGGACGCAACGUAGGGGGUAGCGGAUAUGGAUGUCCUGGGGUAAUGUGUUUCAUCGCCCCUUGUGUGAACAGCUUCUGUCGUUCCCAUCCCGAGGCCACAUGUCGCCACAAAUGUCCCUGUCAGGAGGAAUGGGUGGACAGCUCCGGUAGACAAGUCCACGGAUGCAAUGAUUAUGAUUAUUAACAAUCUUCGAUUCGUCAUAAAGUCUUCUUGAAUUCGUCUCCAAUGUACUACGUACUUUUGACAACAUCUCGAGCAAAUAAGUGCACACCUACA